UGGGGAAUAUUGCACAAUGGAGGGAACUCUGAUGCAGCGACGCCGCGUGAACGAAGAAGGCUUUCGAGUCGUAAAGUUCUUUUAUAUGGGAAGAUAAUGACGGUACCAUAAGAAAAAGCCCCGGCUAACUACGUGCCAGCAGCCGCGGUAAUACGCAGGGGGCUAGCGUUGUCCGGAAUCACUGGGCGUAAAGGGUUCGCAGGCGGAAAUGCAAGUCAGGUGUAAAAGGCAGUAGCUUAACUACUGUAAGCAUUUGAAACUGCAUAUCUUGAGAAGAGUAGAGGUAAGUGGAAUUUUUAGUGUAGCGGUGAAAUGCGUAGAUAUUAAAAAGAAUACCGGUGGCGAAGGCGACUUACUGGGCUCAUUCUGACGCUGAGGAACGAAAGCGUGGGUAGCAAACAGG
rnacentral:rRNA from 2 species